UGAGAAAUGAAUUUACCAGUUGGUUCAACUCAAUCGAUUUCCAAAUCUAUUGAUACCAAACCUGUCAUAAUUGAAUUUUUCACAAUGGAUUGUCCAAUCGAUUGUGUUUGUCACAGACCAUGUUAAUUUUGAAAACUUAUUUACACAAUUGAUUUGCCAAUCGAUUAGUGUGCUACAUGGGUUGGCCCUGUGACUUGUCCAAUCGAUUUGUCAAUCGAUAUAUUCAAUUAGCUUCAGUCUUUGUGAUUUUAACAAUCGAUGUGCCAAUCGAUUAGUAUGCUAAACGGCUUCUCUCUAACUUGCACAAUUUUUAUCACUGAUUGUGCCAGUCGAUUGCCUAAUCGAUUGUUUAAUCAUAGACUGUAUGUUUUUAUACAACCCUUUUACAGAAUCGAUUGCUUAAUCGAGUUUCUCAGUAAAUAUUCCAACUUUUGUUGAUUCCUUGAGUUCCAAGCAAUUGUCUCAAGUAUGUAGGGUUGAGUUGUUGUUCCUGCAAUCUUACUCAGUUAAAAUGUUAGAUUUAUCAUAUGAUGUAUGAACAUUG
rnacentral:lncRNA from 1 species